AGUUACAAGUUAAGUCGAAUAAGACAAGCAUAGGUUUGGUUUUUAUGAAUAGCAAGGGUGUUUUGCUUCAUGCCCAUGGAUCCUCAAUUUAGUUUGUUGGAAAGUCUAUAAUUGCUAAAGCUUUAACAAGUAGAAAAGUUGUGGAGAAAGCGAUGUAAUAUGGAUGAAGGAAACUUUGCAUCUUUUCUGAUGGGAAAGAUAUUGUAGGUAUCUUGACAAAAAAUGUAAAAAUCAC
rnacentral:lncRNA from 1 species